AUAAGGGCGCACGGAGGAUGCCUUGGCACUAGGAGUCGAAGAAGGACGCGACAAACGGCGAAACGCCUCGGGGAGCUGUAAGUGAGCAUUGAUCCGGGGGUAUCCGAAUGGGGAAACCCGCUAGUGGUUAUACGCUAGCACCAUAUGGUGAAUACAUAGCCAUAUAGGAGACAGACCCAGGGAACUGAAACAUCUAAGUACCUGGAGGAAAAGAAAGAAAAAUCGAUUCCCGUAGUAGCGGCGAGCGAAGUGGGAAGAGCCCAAACCGGAUUUAUCCGGGGUUGUAGGACCUUCAUAAUUGACAAAUCAUGAUAGCCGAAUGGUCUGGGAAGGCCAACCGUAGGGGGUGAGAGUCCCGUAGGUGAAAUUGUGAGAUGCAUGGAAGGAAUCCUGAGUACGGCGGGACACGUGGAAUCCCGUCGGAAUCAACGAGGACCAUCUCGUAAGGCUAAAUACUACCUAGUGACCGAUAGUGAACCAGUACCGUGAGGGAAAGGUGAAAAGAACCCCGGAAGGGGAGUGAAAGAGAACCUGAAACCGUGUGCCUACAAAUAGUCAGAGCCCGUUAAUGGGUGAUGGCGUGCCUUUUGUAGAAUGAACCGGCGAGUUACGAUAUCGUGCGAGGUUAAGCAGAAGAUGCGGAGCCGUAGCGAAAGCGAGUCUGAAUAGGGCGAAGAGUACGAUGUUGUAGACCCGAAACCGUGUGAGCUAGCCAUGAGCAGGCUGAAGGUCAGGUAACACUGACUGGAGGGCCGAACCAGGGCACGUUGAAAAGUGCUUGGAUGACUUGUGGCUAGGGGUGAAAUUCCAAUCGAACACGGAUAUAGCUGGUUCUCUCCGAAAUAGCUUUAGGGCUAGCCUCGAUGUUAAGUCUACUGGAGGUAGAGCACUGAAUGGGUGAUGGCCCCACCUCGGGGUACUGAUCUCAAUCAAACUCCGAAUGCCAGAUAGAUAUAAUCGGGAGUCAGACUGUGGGUGAUAAGGUCCAUGGUCAAAAGGGAAAGAGCCCAGACCGCCAGCUAAGGCCCCCAAGUGUCCGUUAAGUGGAAAAGGAUGUGGAGAUGCACAGACAACUAGGAGGUUGGCUUAGAAGCAGCCAUCCUUUAAAGAGUGCGUAAUAGCUCACUAGUCGAGUGACUCUGCGCCGAAAAUGUACCGGGGCUAAACGGACCGCCGAAGCUGCGGAUUGACUUUAGAGUCAGUGGUAGGAGAGCGUUCUAACAGCGGUGAAGCAGUACCGGAAGGAGCUGUGGAGCGGUUAGAAGUGAGAAUGCCGGUGUGAGUAGCGAAAGAUAGGUGAGAAUCCUAUCCAUCGAAAGCCUAAGGUUUCCAGGGGAAGGCUCGUCCGCCCUGGGUAAGUCGGGACCUAAGGUGAGGCCGAAAGGCGUAGCCGAUGGACAACAGGUUGAUAUUCCUGUACCACUUAUUAAACUGAUGGAGUGACGGAGAAGGCUAAGUUGAGCGUGUGAUUGGAUUCACGUGUAAGCAGUGAGGUGGUCAUGUAGGCAAAUCCGCAUGGCAUAACAUUGAGCUGUGAUGCCGAAGCCGAAUGGCGAAGUCAACUGACGUCACGCUUCCAAGAAAAGCUUCUAGGGUUAAUUUAAUAAGUGCCCGUACCGAUAACCGACACAGGUAGGCGAGGAGAGAAUCCUAAGAUGAGCGAGAGAACUCUUGUUAAGGAACUCGGCAAAAUGACCCCGUAACUUCGGGAGAAGGGGUGCUUGUGAAAGCAAGCCGCAGUGAAUAGGCCCAGGCGACUGUUUAUCAAAAACACAGGUCUCUGCUAAACCGCAAGGUGAUGUAUAGGGGCUGACGCCUGCCCGGUGCUGGAAGGUUAAGAGGAGAGGUUAGCGCAAGCGAAGCUUUGAAUUGAAGCCCCAGUAAACGGCGGCCGUAACUAUAACGGAGACUCGGUGAAAUCAUAGUACCUGUGAAGAUGCAGGUUACCCGCGACAGGACGGAAAGACCCCGUGGAGCUUUACUGUAGCUUGAUAUUGAGCACUGGUGGCACAUGUACAGGAUAGGUAGGAGACGAAGAAACCAGGACGCCAGUCUUGGUGGAGUCGCUGUUGGGAUACUACCCUUGUGUCACUGGGGUUCUAACCCGUGGCCCUUAUCGGGUCAGGGAACAGUGUCAGGUGGGCAGUUUGACUGGGGCGGUCGCCUCCCAAAGAGUAACGGAGGCGCCCAAAGGUUCCCUCAGAAUGGUUGGAAAUCAUUCGAAGAGUGUAAAGGCAGAAGGGAGCUUGACUGCGAGACCUACAAGUCGAGCAGGGACGAAAGUCGGGCUUAGUGAUCCGGCGGUACCGAAUGGAAGGGCCGUCGCUCAACGGAUAAAAGCUACCCCGGGGAUAACAGGCUGAUCUCCCCCAAGAGUUCACAUCGACGGGGAGGUUUGGCACCUCGAUGUCGGCUCAUCGCAUCCUGGGGCUGUAGUCGGUCCCAAGGGUUGGGCUGUUCGCCCAUUAAAGCGGUACGCGAGCUGGGUUCAGAACGUCGUGAGACAGUUCGGUCCCUAUCCG
rnacentral:rRNA from 1 species